rnacentral:rRNA from 1 species
UGGGGAAUAUUGGACAAUGGGGGAAACCCUGAUCCAGCCAUCCCGCGUGUGCGAUGAAGGCCUUCGGGUUGUAAAGCACUUUUGGCAGGAAAGAAACGUCAUGGGUUAAUACCCCGUGAAACUGACGGUACCUGCAGAAUAAGCACCGGCUAACUACGUGCCAGCAGCCGCGGUAAUACGUAGGGUGCAAGCGUUAAUCGGAAUUACUGGGCGUAAAGCGUGCGCAGGCGGUUCGGAAAGAAAGAUGUGAAAGCCCAGAGCUCAACUUUGGAACUGCAUUUUUAACUAGGGGGCUAGAGUGUGUGAGAGGGAGGUGGAAUUCCGCGUGUAGCAGUGAAAUGCGUAGAUAUGCGGAGGAACACCGGUGGCGAAGGCAGCCUCCUGGGAUAAUACUGACGCUGAUGCACGAAAGCGUGGGGAGCAAACAGG